rnacentral:rRNA from 1 species
GACGAACGCUGGCGUGCGUGCCUAAUACAUGCAAGUAGAACGCUGAAGAGAGGAGCUUGCUCUUCUUGGAUGAGUUGCGAACGGGUGAGUAACGCGUAGGUAACCUGCCUUGUAGCGGGGGAUAACUAUUGGAAACGAUAGCUAAUACCGCAUAACAAUGGAUGACACAUGUCAUUUAUUUGAAAGGGGCAAUUGCUCCACUACAAGAUGGACCUGCGUUGUAUUAGCUAGUAGGUGAGGUAACGGCUCACCUAGGCGACGAUACAUAGCCGACCUGAGAGGGUGAUCGGCCACACUGGGACUGAGACACGGCCCAGACUCCUACGGGAGGCAGCAGUAGGGAAUCUUCGGCAAUGGGGGCAACCCUGACCGAGCAACGCCGCGUGAGUGAAGAAGGUUUUCGGAUCGUAAAGCUCUGUUGUAAGUCAAGAACGAGUGUGAGAGUGGAAAAUUCACACUGUGACGGUAGCUUACCAGAAAGGGACGGCUAACUACGUGCCAGCAGCCGCGGUAAUACGUAGGUCCCGAGCGUUGUCCGGAUUUAUUGGGCGUAAAGCGAGCGCAGGCGGUUUGAUAAGUCUGAAGUUAAAGGCUGUGGCUCAACCAUAGUUCGCUUUGGAAACUGUCAAACUUGAGUGCAGAAGGGGAGAGUGGAAUUCCAUGUGUAGCGGUGAAAUGCGUAGAUAUAUGGAGGAACACCGGUGGCGAAAGCGGCUCUCUGGUCUGUAACUGACGCUGAGGCUCGAAAGCGUGGGGAGCGAACAGGAUUAGAUACCCUGGUAGUCCACGCCGUAAACGAUGAGUGCUAGGUGUUGGAUCCUUUCCGGGAUUCAGUGCCGCAGCUAACGCAUUAAGCACUCCGCCUGGGGAGUACGACCGCAAGGUUGAAACUCAAAGGAAUUGACGGGGGCCCGCACAAGCGGUGGAGCAUGUGGUUUAAUUCGAAGCAACGCGAAGAACCUUACCAGGUCUUGACAUCCCGAUGCUAUUUCUAGAGAUAGAAAGUUACUUCGGUACAUCGGUGACAGGUGGUGCAUGGUUGUCGUCAGCUCGUGUCGUGAGAUGUUGGGUUAAGUCCCGCAACGAGCGCAACCCCUAUUGUUAGUUGCCAUCAUUCAGUUGGGCACUCUAGCGAGACUGCCGGUAAUAAACCGGAGGAAGGUGGGGAUGACGUCAAAUCAUCAUGCCCCUUAUGACCUGGGCUACACACGUGCUACAAUGGUUGGUACAACGAGUUGCGAGUCGGUGACGGCAAGCUAAUCUCUUAAAGCCAAUCUCAGUUCGGAUUGUAGGCUGCAACUCGCCUACAUGAAGUCGGAAUCGCUAGUAAUCGCGGAUCAGCACGCCGCGGUGAAUACGUUCCCGGGCCU